GAUAGCUCAGUGGUAGAGCAUUUGCCUUGCAUGCAGAAGGUUCCUGGUUCAAUCCCUGACAUCUCCA